rnacentral:rRNA from 1 species
GUAGCUGGUUCCCCCCGAAGUUUCUCCUAGGAUAGCGGGCGAGACUAUUUAUCAUGUAUAGUAGAGAAAUGAUUGGCGGAUAGGGGGAUGUAUGUCCUUCACCGACUCUCAAACUACUAAUAUACAUAGCAAUGCAUAAUUAACCUAUCCAUUGCGUAGAUAUACUCGCCUAGUGGACCGUUUUUGGUAAGCAGAUACGGUGCUUCGGAAUGCUCCAAGCGUAAAGUUAAAGAAUAUUAUUAUUGGUUUAGUGUUAUAAAAAGGCGUUAAUACAUUUAGACAGUCCGACGGUGGCCAUGGAAGUUGGAAACCGCUAAGGAGUGUGUAACAACUUACGGACCGAAUGUAUUAGCCCUUAAAAUUGACUAUAUUCAAACCAUUAUUCUGAAACUUUAUAGAUCUCUGAAUAGAGAUUUUGUAGAGGGGUGUAUCUAUUGUGUUGACAGUUAUCUGCGAGGGUAAUUGAAGCUGUAGGUAGUGUUGAUCUUAAUGGGAGUAGCAAUGUUUAAGUAUUAAUCUUAAAGACGGAUGUAGAAAAGGUUUUCAUAGACACAUUGUUUGGCUAUGAGUGAGUCGAUCUUAACACAAUUAAUAAGUGGAAAAGGAAAACGGAUGUUAUUCCGUUACUUGAUGCUUUACUAGAAAUGGUAACAUUUAUCAUCUCUCAUUGUCAUGGGUUGCUUAGAAAGUGCGUUUUCUAUGCACUAUAACCGAAUUACCCCUAUUGAAUAGAUUUGCUCUAAGACGUAGGACAAUUUCGGGAAAUAUAAUCUACUUUUGAUUAUCUAGGUCUUCCUGUGGCACAUUAAAUGUGAGAUGUUUUGUAAAGUUCAAAUCGUACCAACAACCGCAUCAGGUCUCUAAGGCUCAAAACCUUUCGUUGAUGGAAUAAAAUAGGUUAGGGAAGUCGGCAAAUUAGAUCUGUAACCUUGGAAAAAGGAUUGGCUCUGCGGGCACUUAGCUUAUAAGACGUGUGGAUGAUUCGAAGAAGAACUUUGUUCUUCAUCGAUAUCUGACCACGGAUGACGGCUAGACAUAUGCCAUAGUAGAACUGAGACCAUGAGGGGAAUCCGACAGUUUAACUAAAACCAAGCAUUCUGAUAGUGUUUAAUACUGCAGCACAGAAUGUGAAUUCUGCCCGGUGCUUUGAAUGUCAAUGUGAGGAGACUCAUCUAAGCGCGGGUUAACGGCAGGCGUAACUAUGACGCUUUCAACGUAGCAAAAUGCCUCGUCAUCUAAUUAGUGACUCGCAUGAACGGAUUAAUGAGAUUCCUACUGUCCCUGUCAAUUUUCCAGCGAAUCUACAGCUUAGGGAACGGGCUAAGCUUAGACAGAACGGCAAGAAGACCCUGUUGAGGUUGACUCUAGCUAAUUUUUGUACAGUUGCACAAUCGGCGUAGUGUAUGUGGGAGCGUAAGCAUCAAUGAAACACCACAACUUUUGACGCGGCUGAACUUACCCGUUUCUUUGCUAAAUGCUUAAGCAUAAAACAACUCACGGGGACAUUCAUUGGUAGGGAGUUUGGCUGGGGCGGUACAUCUGUUAAAAUCCACCACAGGUGUCCAAUGAUCAUCUCAGUUGGAUCAGAAAUCUAACGUAGACUAAAAGGAGAAAAGAUGGUUUCAUUCUGUUCAUCAUAAACGAACAGAACUGUGAAAGCAAGGCCUAUCGAUCCUUUCAGAAACCGGUUCUUGGGCUGAGAGGUGUCUGAAAACUUACCACAGGGAUAACUGAUUUGUGGCAGCCAAGCGCUCAUAGCGACGUUGCUUUUUGAUCCUUCGAUGUCGGCUCUUCCUAUCAUGAAGUUGCAGAAGGCUUCAAGUGUUAGAUUGUU